UGAUGGCUGUAGAAAAGAAAGAAAAGAAGCACCCUCUUAUGUGACCUUAAAGCUUGCCACGUCCCUUUCUCCCCUUGUGGCUGCCCCUCAAUCCCUGUGUUCCUUCGCAACAGGGACGUGGUUCACUUGCCAGUCCUCAGCUCAGAUAAACAGACAGCCUGCCUGAUUUACACUCGGCACCCCAGCAAGGACAUGAGGCAAUAUUGGUGGAAGCUGAAGGAAAGAGAAAGAGCCUUGAGACCACUGACACAAAUCCAUCACCCCUCACCCCAGCCCACCCCAGCAUACCCCAGCUCACCCCUACUCGCCUACGCCAUCACAUCACAGGAUGGGGCAAAUAGGGGGUAGCUGGAGGGUAGGGGAGGAACGGCCCUGGCACACCCUCUGGCACUCAACCUCCUUCAUCUCCUGACGGCGCACCCCCUCCCAGCCACAACCUGCCUGCCACAGCCUUCCCGAGCACAGCAGGGCGCUGCUCGAGGAGGGACAAGAGGGGGACUAGCGGUGAUUAGGAGCUGGGAGAGUGGAGGGUGGACUGAUAGGUAUUUUAGCGCCACAGCAACGAGGUCCUAAGCCACCAGGGAGAGGAAGAAAGGAGAGGAGGGAAAAGGAGAGAUAGGAGAGGAAAUUACUAAAGAGAAAUGAUGUCAUGGCAACUUCCACUCCUCUACCUCUCCUUCUCCACUUCACUCGUCACACUCUUCCACUCACUCUCCCAUGUUUGGCCACCUGCUGCUCAUCUUGCCACUCACUCAGCAAAUGUAGGACACCCAAGCCAUGCACGU